rnacentral:lncRNA from 1 species
UUAAAAUACUCAUUAAAAAUUCAUAAACCUUGUGGCAAAUCAUGUCAGUCAUAAUAUGUCACGUGGAGUGACUUUAUAUCUGAUAAAACUCAUCUUCAUUAGUAUUCUUUAUAUAAUUGUUCACCCUAAUUAGUAUGAUUAUAUAAUUGUUCAUCCUAAUUAGUAUUCUUUUGUAGUCGUAUUUUAAGCUAUUCAAAACACUC